rnacentral:rRNA from 1 species
GACGAACGCUGGCGGCGUGCUUAACACAUGCAAGUCGAACGGAAAGGCCCUGCUUUUGUGGGGUGCUCGAGUGGCGAACGGGUGAGUAGCACGUGAGUAACCUGCCCUUGACUUUGGGAUAACUUCAGGAAACUGGGGCUAAUACCGGAUAGGAGCUCCUGCUGCAUGGUGGGGGUUGGAAAGUUUCGGCGGUUGGGGAUGGACUCGCGGCUUAUCAGCUUGUUGGUGGGGUAGUGGCUUACCAAGGCUUUGACGGGUAGCCGGCCUGAGAGGGUGACCGGCCACAUUGGGACUGAGAUACGGCCCAGACUCCUACGGGAGGCAGCAGUGGGGAAUAUUGCACAAUGGGCGGAAGCCAGAUGCAGCAACGCCGCGUGCGGGAUGACGGCCUUCGGGUUGUAAACCGCUUUCGCCUGUGACGAAGCGUGAGUGACGGUAAUGGGUAAAGAAGCACCGGCUAACUACGU